rnacentral:lncRNA from 1 species
GAGAUGGCUACGGGGGGGGGGGUGAAGGGCUUGGCUAGUGGCACCCAUGGCCUUUCACCCUGCAGGCCCUGCGUGACACGCUGGACGCUCUGCAGAGCGAGCUGGACUCCUUGGGGGCUUGUGGCAUGGAGCUGAUGUCAUUGUGCGGAGACCCAGAGAAGCCCACCAUCACCAAGAGCCUGGACAACCUGUACUCAUCUUGGCACAGCCUGAACAGGAUGUGGGCAGAGCAGCAGAAGCACCUGGAGGACCAGCUGCAGGCCUCGGUCACCGACCAAGCAACGAUGCAGAGGCUCUUGGCCUGGCUGGCAGAGGCCGAGUGGCGGGUGACGCAGGAGGUCCUGGGUGAGGGGGACUCAGUCCGGGUGGAGCAGGAGCUCUCAGAGCUGAAGGUGAGGAAUGGCUGUGGGCCGGCAGGCUUGUCUUCCCGAGGAGAGCGGGGAGGGGGCUGAGGUC